UCUCAUCUCCUCCUCCAGCUCCCAAGUAGCUUCUCUCUCACUGUGAUUGCUCCACUGCACCUUUACAUAAGGAAUCGUGCGCCUCCUCAAAACUUGGUCCUUCCUAUCCACUAUACGGAUAGGCUGCUCAACAUACGAAAGAUCUGCGCGGAGCUGCAAAGGUGCCACUUCAAUCACAUGACUGGGAUCAGCAAUGUACCUCCUCAACAUAGAGACAUGAAAAACAGAAUGGACCCCCGAUAAAGCAGGUGGAAGUGCCAGCUUAUAAGCAACAGCUCCAACUCUCUCGAGAAUCUCGAAUGGUCCCACAUAUCUCGGGCUGAGCUUACCCCGAACUCCAAAUCG
rnacentral:lncRNA from 1 species